UACGUAGGGAGCAAGCGUUGUCCGGAUUCAUUGGGCGUAAAGAGCUCGUAGGCGGCUUGGCAAGUCGGAUGUGAAAACUCCAGGCUCAACCUGGAGCCGCCAUUCGAUACUGCUAUGGCUAGAGUCCGGUAGGGGAGUGUGGAAUUCCCGGUGUAGCGGUGAAAUGCGCAGAUAUCGGGAGGAACACCGAUGGCGAAGGCAGCACUCUGGGCCGGUACUGACGCUGAGGAGCGAAAGCGUGGGGAGCGAACAGG
rnacentral:rRNA from 1 species